GACGAACGCUGGCGGCGUGCCUAAUACAUGCAAGUCGAGCGCAGGAAACUGACGGAACUCUUCGGAGGGAAGGCAGUGGAAUGAGCGGCGGACGGGUGAGUAACACGUAAGGAACCUACCUCAAGGAUUGGGAUAACUCCGAGAAAUCGGAGCUAAUACCGGAUAGGUCAUCGGACCGCAUGGUCCGGUGUAGAAAGGCGCUUCGGCGUCCACUUUGGUAGGCCUUGGGGUGCCUUAGCUAGUUGGUGGGGUAACGGCCCACCAAGGCGACGAGGCAUAGCCGACCUGAGAGGGUGAUCGGCCACACUGGGACUGAGACACGGCCCAGACUCCUACGGGAGGCAGCAGUAGGGAAUCUUCCACAAUGGACGAAAGUCUGAUGGAGCAACGCCGCGUGAGUGAUGAAGGUUUUCGGAUCGUAAAACUCUGUUGUAAGGGAAGAACACGUACGAGAGGAAAUGCUCGUACCUUGACGGUACCUUACGAGAAAGCCACGGCUAACUACGUGCCAGCAGCCGCCGUAAUAC
rnacentral:rRNA from 1 species